GAGUUUGAUCCUGGCUCAGAUUGAACGCUGGCGGCAUGCCUUACACAUGCAAGUCGAACGGCAGCACGGGAGCUUGCUCCUGGUGGCGAGUGGCGAACGGGUGAGUAAUGCAUCGGAACGUAUCCUGGAGUGGGGGAUAACGUAGCGAAAGUUACGCUAAUACCGCAUAUUCUGUGAGCAGGAAAGCGGGGGACCUUCGGGCCUCGCGCUCUUGGAGCGGCCGAUGUCGGAUUAGCUAGUUGGUGAGGUAAAGGCUCACCAAGGCGACGAUCCGUAGCAGGUCUGAGAGGAUGAUCUGCCACACUGGAACUGAGACACGGUCCAGACUCCUACGGGGGGCAGCAGUGGGGAAUUUUGGACAAUGGGGGCAACCCUGAUCCAGCCAUGCCGCGUGAGUGAAGAAGGCC
rnacentral:rRNA from 1 species